CCUACGGUGGGCAGCAGUGAGGAAUAUUGGUCAAUGGUCGGGAGACUGAACCAGCCAAGCCGCGUGAGGGAGGAAGGUACAGAGUAUCGUAAACCUCUUUUGUCAGGGAACAAAGACUGGGACGCGUCCCCGGAUGAGUGUACCUGAAGAAAAAGCAUCGGCUAACUCCGUGACAGCAGCCGAGGUAAUACGGAGGAUGCGAGCGUUAUCCGGUUUUAUUGGGUUUAAAGGGUGCGCAGGCGGGGUUUUAAGUCAGCGGUCAAAGCCCGGGGCUCAACCCCGGCCCGCCGUUGAAACUGGCAGUCUCGAGUUGGAGAGAGGUAUGCGGAAUGCGCGGUGUAGCGGUGAAAUGCAUAGAUAGCGCGCAGAACUCCGAUUGCGAAGGCAGCAUGCCGGCUCCACACUGACGCUGAGGCACGAAAGCGUGGGUAUCGAACAGGAUUAGAUACCCCAGUAGUC
rnacentral:rRNA from 1 species